rnacentral:lncRNA from 1 species
GCCCCCUGGUGGGCGUGGCCACGUUGCCCAGCAGUGGGCGGUGAUUGGCCCCGGGCGGUGCCUUCGCAGCUCGUGCGUCACGACGCCGCCAGCUGAUCGGAGCCUGGAGCCGGUGUGUGCUGGGUACCGAGAAGAGACAGCGCCGCCGGCCGUGGGGAGCGGACGCAGCGAUUUGCUCCCCUUCGCGCAGCAACCCCCACACCCAGCACCAGGAGCCUGUUCCUCUCACACCCUCACCUGGCUGAGCCGCAGUAGUUCUUCAGUGGCAAGCUUUAUGUCCUGACCCAGCUAAAGCUGCCAGUUGAAGAACUGUUGCCCUCUGCCCCUGGCUUCGAGGAGGAGGAGGAGCUGCUUUCCCCAUCAUCUGGAAGCAUCUCCCUCCAGCCCUCACUAUGUGCCUCUGCCAUCUUCACCCAUCAUGGAGCAGAGGUGAGGAAAGGCAGCCUGGGAAUGUGGAGACCAGUGAAGGACCAGGCCUGGAAAGCACAGGGUCCUACCUGGGCAUCCAGCAGAGGAGCCCCUAAAGGCCAGGAGCAACCCAAGAGGAGGGAGGACAGCCAGCCUCCAUCGACGGCGAGCCUCCAGCCCUCUCCUACUUUGAUCACCAUUUCUCUCCAGGCUUUCUGCCUCCGAGAUGUGGCACCAUAGUGCAGUGCCCUGUGGCUUCACCGCCCUACUUCCACCUCCGCCCAGCCUGUAAUGUUUAUAAAAGCAGCCUCAAGGACCAAGAACCAUCUGCGAAAGGACACACACAGGAAAUUCAUAAA